rnacentral:rRNA from 1 species
GACGGAGGGUGCAGCGUUGCUCGGAAUCACUGGGCGUAAAGGGUGCGUAGGCGGUCUCGCAGUCUGGCGUGAAAGCCCAAGGCUCAGCCUUGGAAGUGCGCUCGAAACGGCGAGGCUGGAGUGCCGGAGGGGAGAGUGGAAUUCCCGGUGUAGCGGUGAAAUGCGUAGAGAUCGGGAGGAAUACCGGUGGCGAAGGCGGGUCUCUGGGCCGUAACUGA